rnacentral:rRNA from 1 species
AUUGAACGCUGGCGGCAUGCCUUACACAUGCAAGUCGAACGGCAGCACGGGCGCUCGCACCCGGUGGCGAGUGGCGAACGGGUGAGUAAUACAUCGGAACGUACCUUAUCGUGGGGGAUAACGCAGCGAAAGUUGCGCUAAUACCGCUUACGCCCUGAGGGGGAAAGCGGGGGACCGUAAGGCCUCGCGCGAUUAGAGCGGCCGAUGUCUGAUUAGCUUGUUGGUGAGGUAAAAGCUCACCAAGGCGAUGAUCAGUAGCUGGUCUGAGAGGACGAUCAGCCACACUGGGACUGAGACACGGCCCAGACUCCUACGGGAGGCAGCAGUGGGGAAUUUUGGACAAUGGGGGCAACCCUGAUCCAGCAAUGCCGCGUGAGUGAAGAAGGCCUUCGGGUUGUAAAGCUCUUUUGUCAGAGAAGAAACAGCAGCUCUAACACAGUCUGCGAAUGACGGUACCUGAAGAAUAAGCACCGGCUAACUACGUGCCAGCAGCCGCAGUAA